GAGUACACCUAUACAUCCUACUUAUAUGUAUUUACCUGAGCCAGUGUCUAUAUACAGGCAAAUGAAAAUGUGAGUAGGAUGCAACUUUUCUUAUAAUAUUUUAGUCAUAGUGUGGACAUUUAUACAGGCUAUAUUGCCCUAUGUGAGCCUUUUUAUUUUUCAGAAAAUUCUCUCUGGAAAAAGUCUAUUUUAAGUGUAUGUACUAUAUCUUAUUACUGCACUUUUGAGAUCACUGUGCACUUUAUUCUUGUUAUCAGUUCACAGAGCGUUAACCUCCAUUUUCUGGCUUUGUUCUAUAUGUUUCAUGGGGAAUUAAGUGGUUGAUUUCACAGGGUUUUUUAGCUGCACUAUUCCAAUAUUACAAGCGCCAACUUACUGCUAACUUUCUCUUUCUAUAAGGUUCGAACAAUAAAUGCAAAGUUUUAAACCUCAUGCACAGAACACACAAACUGCAGAUUGGGGGCCUCCUUGUGUCUUUGGAAGCUGAGAAGGCCUUCGACCACUUGAACUGGACGUUUUUAGAAAGGGUGCUCCACAAAUUCGAUUUUCCCAAGCAAUUUAUAGAUGGAGUCUCAGCAGUAUAUAGUCAGCCCUCAGCCCGGGUCCUAUAUGCUGGAUUUUUAUCUAAAACCAUAACCAUUACCAACGGCUCCAAACCCUCCUCUAUGUACUGGCGCUGGAACCCCUAGCAGCAAAAAUGAUAUCAGAUCCUAACAUACAAAGUAUCCCACUAGGAGGCCAAAACUAUAAACUAAACAUUUUUGCAGACGACAUUCUAGUCACAUUAACCCAACCUUUCAUUUCCCUACCUAACCUAAUGAAUCAGAUUGAUGUUUUCGGACUACAUUCCUACUAUAAACUUAAUGUCCCCAAAACACAGGCAUAAACUAUCGGCGUGGAAAGCAGAGAGAAGAGUACACUUCAGAUACCCCUACCCAACAAUUAUUUAACCUCCAUUACAAUAUUAUUCUUGAAAAAAAUUUGGCAACAUAAAAGAAUCAAGGUGGCUACAAAAAUCUUGCAAAGAUCAAUAGCAGAGGGGUACCUGGGCAUACUAAAUUUACAAACGUACUAUAGGGCAGUUCUCUUAAUCACAAUGCUUAAUUUAAAUAGCGAUUCCCCACACCCACAGUGGGCCAAGACAGAAAAACAUUGGACAAAAAUAUCUGAUCCAUGCCGUAUCUUUUGGAUAGAACAGUGGCUCAGACCUGACCUAGCUUAUACACACUUCAAACAGCGUGGGGAAAACACUAAUAUACUACUCCAAUGUAUCAUUAGCAGCCCAAAUGUAAUCCCUUACCUUAGCAAUCCCGACAUUCAACUAUAAACCAUAAAUAGACAAAGGAAUCACACAUGUCCUGCAAUUGUAUCGGAGGUGGAAACCUUAACAUAUUCCCAGACUUACAAGAGCAGCAUGACCUACAAGCAGGACGUAUCUCCCAUAACCUUCCACUUAAAUAAUUUCUGCAUGAUAACCAGCUCACACUCUCUUUACAAAAGGAUAACAGCCCUAUUUCAGAGUUUGAAAUGGCAUUUACGGAACGUACACCCCUUAAAAAGCCCUUAAUCUCUGUGUUAUUCUAUAUUACUUCAAAGGCAGACACAACCACAAAAAUCAUACAAAAUAACAUGGGGCAAAUACAUGGGAUUCAAGAUCAGCACAAAUCAGUGAAAUAUGGUUCUAACUAUACACAAGGGGCUAGCCUCCUGUGCACAACACUUAGAACUUCAAAGCAAGAUCCUGUAUUGAUAGUAUUUGGUACCAGAUAGGAUACAAAAGAUAUGGCCUCACACGCAAGUGGAGAGACCCACAGGGACAUGCAUCACUAUCAAAUAGCAUUCAAUCACUAGCACACGACCAACCUAAUCAUACUGAAUAAUCAAACACCAAAUCACCAUAACCGACGCACCCCUACAGACUGGAAACACGGAACAACAGUACUGAGAGGCCCUGUCCCGAAAGCAAACAUUACUCCCUCGAACCCCAAAACCUCUCUGGGAACACAACCACCACACCGCUGAUAAGACAAGCUUAUGCGCGCUGGCAACAGUACAAGGCAAACAAAUGUAACCAUUCAAGUGUACACUGUGCUCUAACCCAAUUCUUUCACAUUUCUGUACAACCCUAUUCUUAUAAAAAAAGGCAAAAUACAAAAAUAAAGAUUUAAAAAAAGAAAAAAAAACAAUAGGGCACCCAGAUUCCCUCCCUUUUCUAUUCUGUAGCCCUCCCCAAUCCUUAGAUCUAGAGCAGCAACAAAUGUUAUGUACAGAGAAAUAUCGUAUAAGCAAACAACAGAUACUAUAACCAAAGACAAAUCGUCAUAAUCCUGUUUCAUAUGCAAGACUGUCAUAAACCACAAAAAUAAGCUCUACGAACUCUGUAACAAUAAUCUUACUCCCUUGUUCUAUUGUGUACCCUAACCCCAACGAAAAUGAAAACAUUUCAAAAAUAGAGAAUUUAAAAAAAAAAGAUAUGGCCUAACUCAUCAUGCAUAUGCUGAAGAUGAGAACAUUAAAGAGGGACAAUGUUUCACAUAUGGUGGGCUUGUAACCACAUUAGGCCUUUCUGGCUCAGGGUGGCAAAACUCAUUUUCUCCAGCUCCAGAGGCAUGCUUGUUAUUAAUGCUGCCUGAGCAAGUGCCAAAAACUCACCUAGCACUCAUGUACCACACACUUAUCUUAGCCAAUAUGCUCAUUGCAAAACAAUUAAAAAACCACAAAAAUACCAACACUCACCCACCUUAUUAAUCAAUCAGUAUUGAAUUGGACAUAUAUAUCCAUACACUAAUUCUGAAUCAAACCGGUGUGAGUGAAUGCAAAGGAAAUUUGGGAUAACUUUACUCAGGACAGGGUACAGGACACAGGAUAGAUCAUAAUAAUAAAAAUACAAAAAAAAACCUCACCUCCAACUUCCACAUGAACAGUAAAACCAACAUACACUGUGUAAUGCUAACCAGAUGUGAAGACUUGAUCUGUGUUGAUGUCAGCGGGGUGUACUCCUGGAGCCUAUGUUCCUACUCUCCCUCCCCCUUUCUCUUCUCUCACACGGAUUUAUGGGGUCACCUGAUUCUAAUAGAUGCUGUAGAUGAGGUUAUAAUGAAGGUACAUACAUUCAUAUUUGGUGGGAAUAUGCUUUAACCCCUUAAGGACACAUGACAUGUGUGACAUGUCAUAAUUCCAUUUUAUUCCAGAAGUUUGGUCCUUAAGGGGUUAAUCAAAACAUUGGUCAACAGUAUUCGAUAAAUUAAAAAUAUUUAAUUAAAUCUAGAUAAAUGGCCCGAAACUACUCUCCUAAAUAUAAAUUGGUACAAUGUACCCAAAUCUAUAACAAUGAUAAUUAUUAGUUUUUUUGCAGCAAUACAGAUAUUAAUAGCUAGACACUGAUUUGGAGUUUCUCCAAUCUCUUGGAACCAACUAAAAAAUCAGAUCAUAUACCGACUAAAUAUGGAAAGAGGUCUGGAUCGGUUCAACCUCAAUUUAAAAAAAGCAUUAAUGCUGAAAAAUGGAUAAAAAAAACAACCAACAUUUUCCAUACAUAGACAGAGGAAAUAUUCUUUUUAUAGGGACCUCUGAAAGUUUUCUUUUUUCCCCGCCGCUCGUAUCAACCCCACACAUUAGGAUUUCAAUGCAUGUCAUUAUCCCUCAGAAAAUGUUAGUUAUGUUUUUUAAGAACACAGAGAUUCUAUUGAAAAAUAAAUGACUGACUCUCUGAAUGAAAUGAAAGAAGAAAUAAAACUGCUACAUCGGGGGGCGUGGCCUGACCGGGUAUGGAGUGAGACGCAUCUCCCUGCAGCUCCUAGGCCCCAGCUCACUACCGCACCGAUACACGGGCACGAAUUGACCCGAGAUGGGUAAAACUAAGAGGCUACUCACCCCUGGCCCCUCACAAAUGGGCUCACCGAGCCGCACAGCGGGACCCAUGGACGGGUACCUCGGAACGCCGCGAGACAUGCGGGCGCACCAGGCCGCAGCCAAAAUGGCGCCGUCCUCGCCGGACACCAGCAGCACAGGCAGCCCAGCAACAGGCCCAGCCAGAGAGGAGUCACUGACCCAAAUUGCAGCAGACUUGGCCACAAUAUCAGCAAACAUGAUGUCCAGGGCGGAUAAAACGGAACUGCUGGCUGAAAUUAGGGCAGUUAUCAGAGAAGAGGUCAUGGAGGUGAGGAGAGACCUGACAGCACUGGAACGCAGAGUUGAGGAACUAGAGGCAGAACGUGCCCAAAAUAUACAACACCGCCAAGCCACAGACACAGCCACUACUAGACAAGGCAAUGUCUUGUUGGAGCUAAGAAGGAAUCUGGAAGAUUUGGACAAUCGCAGACGGAGGAACAACAUCCGCGUCAGGGGACUCCCUGAAUCAGCAGGGGAAGCACUACCAGAGCUCCUGCUGGGCCUGUUCACCCACAUACUAGGGGACAGAGCCCCGGCAGACUUUGGAAUUGAACGUGCACACAGAGCCCUGCGCCCCGUGACCGCUGAGGGACCGCCUAGAGACGUAAUAUGCUACCUGCUCUCCUACUCGUUAAAAGACGAAAUCAUGAGGGAAGCAAGAAAUCAGCAGAACCUCACCUACAUGGAUGCCCAGAUUUCCCUAUACCAGGAUCUCUCAGUACUCACCUUGGAAGCGAGAAGGGCACUGAGACCACUAACCACCCUGCUCAGAGAGCGGCGGAUAUAAUACAAAUGGGGAUUCCCCUUUAGCUUACAGGCAAAGGUGAGCAACAUAUGGCAUAUCAUACGCUGGCCAGCAGACGUGCCGCGCUUUCUCCGAGCCGCAAACCUCCCAACCGUGACAGUCUCAAACUGGGUCCUGGAGAGACAGCCGCAACGCCCAAAUGCUCCAAACACUAGGUCGGGUACGGGCCUUACAGGAGCUGGGUUCCGCAGAGGCGGCCCGGACAGCCAUGAGGAAUAACGGACUCAAGAGCCCAGGAGGGCGGCGACCGGCGCACCCACCGACGGCGGCACUCCCCAGUUUUCACACCCCCAUUUAGUCCCAGAAACCACGUCACAGUGAGACAGACUACCAGACCGCUCCCCCAGGGUCGACCCGGAGAAACAUCCAUCGUAAGCAGAAGCUGACACACCGUUGGGUAUGUACUUGCACCCCUAUCCUGGGCCCGUAGCAUUUACGCCCUAGCCAGAGUUACCGGGACUUGAGACAAUGGAGUGCCACAUUUUUGGGGUGGUGGGAUCUGAGGGGAACGGGUAACACCCGGGGAAGAUGAAGACAAAGGAGGGGGUCACCCCAGAUUUUGAAAGACUCGGGCUCACCGCCCACAGAAUCCCCCCUUUGGGUGGUUGGGGUAGGGGGGAGGCAUUAACGGGCACCAACUACCUGAGUUGCAUCCCAAGAUAAAGUCUGGACAGUCCCAUGCAGCCCCAGAGGGUCCCACGACUCAAGCAUCGCCCAACCCCGGAAGGGAUUAGCAAGCCAACUAGCGGGAUAGGACACCACUUUACCCGGCUGGAACAGGGAGCAGAGGAGGGGGGUGCGGUCCCUGAGGGAGAGGGGAGAGGGGAAUGUUAGCGGCGGUGGUCUGGUCUUUACAGUUGUUAUUGUUAUUAACGUUAAUGAAGUUCACAUGUUCCGCACCAUACCAAGAUGGUCACACACCUACACAAGGGGGUUGGAAACACACCUGAGCCCAUGGAGCCCGAGGGGCUGGGCCGGGGCAGGGGCACCCGGGGAGGCCGGACCCGUCGGGUAGCAGCGGGGCCCAAAUACCAACUAGACACGCGUUACUUAGACCCUUAAGAACAGAGAGGAAAAUGGAUGAUGGGGAGGUGGCACCCUCGUACUACUUCUCCAUACCCGUAGGGAAAAUUCCAAUUAAACAAAACUAGUGGGCUGGGUGCCGUGAGAGCGGUGCGAUUCAUUAGACGGUUCACCCCAGAACGGACGACCCACGUACCCCACAUGACGGACUCACACUGUACAAAUCCUCGGGGGCUACUCUGGUGACAUACCCCGAAGGGACUAGACACCGGUGGGCGACUGACCCCGAGGCGAGUCGUAGUUACCUUAAAACCUGACCCACAACCCUUCCCUGACUUUGACCUGACUUCUCUCCUUCCCCCCCCGAACCUUACCCCGCGAUACUCUGACACACCCAUACCCUACCCCACGAGCAGAUAGGGAUGGGCUCUAACUAUGUACCGGCGCCGCUUACCCUGUGGUCGAACAACGUUAGAGGCCUAAACGUACCCGAGAAGCGGUCUCAGUUACUCAGUACACUCUGGGCGGAACGCAUCUCGGUGGCGUUUUUGCAGGAAACGCAUCUUAAAGGUGCGGAGGCCCCCACCCUGAAAAACAGAAGGUACCCCACAGGCUAUUACUCUAACCAUGCCGACCAAAAAAAAGCGUGGUAGCGAUCCUCUUUUCACAUACUGUCCCGUUCGUAUGCACAGAGCAACGAACAGAUCCAGGGGGUAGAUACUUAUUUAUCAAAGGAACCAUAGCACAACACCCUUACACAUUCGCCUGCCUGUAUUCCCCGAACCGUAACCAACAUGUCUUCCUGAAUAAAACACUCACAUUGCUCAAUAAGUUCAGAGAGGGCCUACUAAUUAUGGCAGGAGAUCUUAACACUCUGUUAGACGCUAGACUAGACACCUCUAGGGGAGAAAGCUCAAUACCAGGUCAUUGCACACGCGCAGUCGGGAGAGCACUGACAAGGAGUGGAUUAGUGGAUUGCUGGAGGGCGGCGCACCCUGACGGCAGGGACUAUUCCUACUACUCAGCUGUGCAUCAGAGAUACAGUCGGAUUGACUAUAUCUUCAUGGCACAGGAAGCCCUGCCACUACUCCGCAAGGCUAGCAUAGGCCUGAUUGUGGAGUCAGAUCACGCCCCGGUCUCAGUCCAGAUCCAAUCCCCAUUACACAAACCAGCGGAAAGGCACUGGAAGCUAAAUGAGAAUAUGCUGCCUAACCUGGGAGACACUGACCCAGUCAGGCAAACACUAACACAAUACUUCGACACCAACACAACCCCCGACGUAUCGCCCUUGACGGUGUGGGAAGCACAUAAGUGUGUCGUACGGGGACACUAUAUUAAGGUCUGUUCGCAACGGAAGAAAGAACAUACACGACAGCUGACAACACUAAACGCACAAAUAGCCAACCUAGAGCAAGCUCAUAAACAGAGUCAGGAUGAGGACACGUUCCUCCAACUAACUGCGCUCCGAAGGCAGAGAAGAGACAUAUUAGCUCAGGGUCUCCUACGCACCCUUAGAAAAUCGGCCCGGUUCUUUUUUGAACACUCGGACAAAAGCGGCAGACUGCUAGCCCGCCAGCUCCGAGAUCGUCGGAUGGCGAGCCACAUACACAAAAUUAAGCCCAGUGACAAAGCUGAAACCCGACUGCCGGACGGAAUUCAGCGUGCGUUCGUAGACUACUACACGGACCUAUACAACAUCCCCCAACCCAACACUGACGCUGCCCGCACGCGACAGACCUGCCAUAUCACUGAAUUUCUGGAACAAAAUAUAGAUAAAAAGCUGACCGCUGAAAUGCGGGACGACCUAGACCAACCCCUCGCUGGCGGCGGCCCUGAAGAUCUCCAAAUCCCACAAGGCCCCAGGACCGGACGGCCUGCCUCUGAUGUACUUACGUACGUUCAAGGACAUCUUAUUACCAAACCUCUUAAUGGGCCUCAACUCCAUACUGGGGGGGGGGCGCUUCCCCUCGGACACGUUAGCAGCCAUAUUUACUGUAAUACCAAAAGAGGGCAAGGAUCCGACGAACUGCGCGAGCUACCGUCCCAUAUCGCUACUAAACGCAGACCUGAAACUAUUCGCAAAAGCCAUUGCCCUGAGAGUUGCAAGACACCUCCCCCACUUGGUACACUCGGAUCAGGUUGGGUUUAUCCCGGGCAGGGAAGGAGAGAUAACACGAUUAAGGCCCUGAACAUCCUACACAUAGCACGGACGCGCCGUAGAGAACUUCUACUACUUUCCACCGAUGCCGAAAAGGCUUUUGACCGGGUGAGCUGGUCGUAUCUGGGGAGCACCCUCACACACAUGGGAUUCGGCCCCAACAUGCUGUCAUGGGUGCUCUCUCUGUACACGUGCCCCACUGCGAGGAUCCGCAUUAACGGGGCACUAUCAGCCCCUUUCACAAUCAGGAAUGGCACCCGCCAGGGAUGCCCGCUUUCCCCCCUCCUGUUUGCCCUCUCCCUAGAACCAUUUCUGGGGGCGGUCAGAUGGAAUGGGGGAAUCUCUGGAUUCCGCCUUGGUCGUCACGAAUACCGAGUAGCCGCAUAUGCAGACGACAUGCUGUUCUUUCUUACACAGCCGUUGAUCUCACUGCCCAACCUUCUAGCAUCUUUCCGGGAGUUUGGGGCACUCUCUAAUCUUAAACUCAAUACGGAUAAGUCUGAGGCCCUCCACCUCCCACCCCCUACAGGCCCCCCAACACACCUUCACACCCAAUACAGGUUCAAAUGGUGCGAUAUCAAAUUAAAAUACUUGGGCAUAUGGCUGACCAAGGACCCGUCCCAAUUAUACCACCAUAACUAUCACCCACUCCUACACUCACUUCAGACAGACCUUAAGAAAUGGGCCCCAUAUUACAUCUCCUGGUUCGGACGUAUCAACGCGGUUAAAAUGAACGCAUUACCCAGGAUACUCUACCUAUUCCAAACAGUGCCAAUUACUCUCCCCAGGGCCUUUUUCAGCUCCAUGAUGACCGCCAUUCGCAGAUUCGUUUGGAACUCCCGCCCAACCCGAAUAAAAAAAUCAACCCUAGAACUACCAAAACUGAUGGGGGGCACGGGACUGCCCUCCAUAGAGACAUAUUACCGCGCCGCACACCUGCACAGACUGACGGACUGGCAUGCGCAACACCCAUUAAAACAAUGGGUGACCCUAGAGCUAGAACAAACAGAUAGAAAAAUACCCUCUAGGCUUUGGUUACACACCGCCACAUACUCCGACCUACACACCGAGAACCCACUAAUUGACGCCACGCUCCGAGUGUGGAUGGCUAUACGCUACCGACUGCAACUCACCAGCUCCCCCAGCCCCUUAACACCCAUCACGCAUAACCCAGACCUGGCCGAUGCUCUAUCCCCACAAGACCUAGCCGGCCUCCAGCAGGCAGACUGGAUGUACCUACACCAAUGGCUCAACACUCAGGGACUUAAACCACUCGGAAACCUCUGCCCCGAUAGACCACCGACGUUACUCGAACAAUUCAGAUACCACCAAGUUAAGACGUACUUUCUAUCCUUGCAUGGUCGAGGGCACCUGACUAGACCCCUCACCAGCUUUGAACACCUGUGCGUACACUGAACACACGUUCACAGAGGUAUCUCCUCUAUACAGACCAUACUCAAGACCCAAACUAGUGAGGAUGUGGUGCUCAAAUUUAAGGAUCAUUGGGAGAGAGACUCGGGGGAAGUCCUUACCGCGCAAGAUUGGGACAAGAUCUACACCCUCACACAUAAAUGCUCUAUCAGCUCUAAGUAUCAGGAGCUGAACUACAAAAUUUUAACCCGCUGGUACAGAACCCCAGACAUACUUAAUCGCAUGAACGAGGGUGCCCCGGACACCUGCUGGAGAUGCGGCAUGCACACCGGCUCGUACUUCCACAUCUGGUGGAAGUGCCCCGAGAUUACCACAUACUGGGAGAGGAUCAGGGUAGAGAUAAACAGAAUCACAGGAGCGGAGCUACCCCUAGUGAUGCUAUUACACCACACCCCCACACCCGUCAAGACAUAUAAGAAAUCCCUCAUGCUGCCACUACUCAACGCAGCAAAGGCCCUUAUCCCGGCAAUGUGGAAACAGAGGGGGGCGCCUACCCUCCAGCAAUGGGUGACAAGGGUGGAAGAGAUCCACUCAAUGGAAUCCUUAACUGCAGACCUCCAUGGUAGACAGGAGCAAUGUGCACUGACCUGGUACCACUGGGAAACAUACCUAGCCAACAGAUUAGCAAACCCAAACAUGGCCCCCCAGAGGCCCGCAGUAAACUGACUCAUACAGAGCUAAGCUACCAAGCUACCCCUCCCCCCUGUGUCUCCUACCUCCCGCCCCCCUCCCAAGACUGUACACUGGACCGAACCCCAACGACUGACGCUGACGAGCCCGUAACAGGGGCAUAUUAAUAUACACACUUACUGUAAACACAGGAGCAUAAUACACAGGAAACCGAGACCCAAUCUAGCGUUGAUACCGGCAUGAAAACAUCCCGCCUGGCCACCUAGACUGGUACCUAGAGUACCCUCCCAUAUGUCGAGCUAUACCGAUAAGCAUACAAAUAUAUACACCGACAACUGCCUACCCACAGUAGAGGGGAACUUUAUCUAAACCAUCACACUUUGCUCUCACCCAGGUGACCAGAUGGCCUUGAAUGUAAAUAAUUGCUGUGUAGACAUGGGAGGUGUUAAGGCACUAAAGGUAUCUUUUUUCGCUCCCGUAGCUCUAUAUCAUGCUCAACAACAUAUAUUUGUCAAGCGAUAAAAUGCUCUCUGACACUGUUGGUAUGAAACGUGAAAUGAAAAAUAAAGAUUGUCAAAAAAAAACAAAAAACUGCUACAUCAUAAAAUUCAGGAAAACCAAGAUACAAGUGAAUCAAUCAUAAUUGAUAUUUCUAAAGUACAAGACAUACAGGAAAAUUCAAACAAAAAAUUAAUGGAGAUGGAAAGAAAUAUCAAGGAUCAAGAAUUUUUUUUUUGAGAAUUAAAGGAGUUCCUGAAGAAAUAAAAAAUGACGAACUGAAAGAAUUUCUAUAUGAAUACUUUAAAGAAAUAGCAGGGGAUUUAGGAGAAAAGGAACUACUUAUGGCAAGAGCUCAUAUUAUACAAACCUUCAACAGUAUCUCCCCAGUCGCCAAGAGAUACAAUAAUCUGUUUCCAUAAUUAUAUUUAUAUAAAGAAAGAAUCUGGAAGGCUAGAAAUAUCACGCCCCAAAAUAAGGAAAAAUGUAAAAAUUUGAGAAUACUCAAUGAUUUAUCUAACUUUACCCGACAACAAAGAUGGAAAUUAAAACCAGUGAUUGACAUAUUGAUUAAAGGACCACUAUAGGCACCAGACCACUUCAGCUUAAUGAAGUGGUCUGGGUGCCAGGUCCAGCUAGGAUUAACCCUUUCUUCUAUAAACAUAGCAGUUUCAGAGAAACUGCUAUGUUUACAUUUGGGUUAAUCCAGCCUCUAGUGGCUGUCUCAUUUCACAGUGAGAAGAUGCCAGCAUCCAUAGGAAAGCAUUGAGAAUGCUUUCCUAUGGACUGGCUGAAUGCGCGCGCGGCUCCUGCCGCGCAUGCGCAUUCAGCCGAUGACAUCGCUAUGGAGGAGGAGAGUUCCCCGCCCGGCGUUGGAGAAAGAGGUAAGUUUAACCCCUUCCACCCCCUAGAGCCGGGCAGGAGAGGGGGCCCUGAGGGUGGGGGCACCCUAGGGGCACUAUAGUGCCAGGAAAACAAGUAUGUUUUCCUGGCACUAUAGUUGUCCUUUAAGGAGAACAUACGAUUCACUUGGCAAUAUCCAGCAAAAAUCCUAUUAACUUUUAAAGAAGAAAGACACACCAUAAUGACAAAAGAACAGGGGAUUCAAUGACUAAAUAAAUUAAAUAUUGCAAGGGAUAGUUAGAAUAAAUAAUAAAAUGUAAAGAAUAAUUAAGUGAGUUGGGGGGGUAUGGGAGAAGGACGUGGGGGAGGGUGAGGUGGGGGGUUGGGAUAAAGGCAACAGCAUUAAAAGGUGGAUAGAAAGAUGAGAAGAGAGUUAUAGAGUUCCCCCUAACAAAAACUAGGAAGUUUAAGUGGAUUUUUAAAUAUAUCUAGAGGAGAUAGGAAUAUCACAAAGUAUAGCUCUUUGGAAUGAGAGCUCCCCCUCCGCACGGGUAUCCUCCCUUCAGUCUCCCCCUACCAAUAAUGGUGUUUUUUUCUAUAUCUCCCUAAACUAUACCUUUCUACGCUCUGCUCUUAUAGGAUAAACUUUCGCAAGCAGACCUCCUCUGGAAUAAUAGCCUGAUUAACCUUAAUAGCUCUGAAGGUAGUAUUAGGAUGGGCAAGAGAAAAGCUCCUAGAAAAGGAAGGUCUCUUGACCUAUCUAUGUAUGAAUGAGUUGUAUGAAUGUGUCUGUGUUAAGGGAAAAUUAAGGGAAAACAAACGCAUCAAAGUUUUUUAAUGUUAAAUUUAUGCACUAUAAACGCACAAGGAUUAAAUUCCAUUUAUAAAAGAUGGACAAUAAUAGAUACACUAGACAACUUUUUUUUUAUAUUGCACUAGUACAAAAAACAGAUUGGUUAUUGUCACAAAAAAAAACAAAUUUUGAUAAAAAUUAUACACAUCAAUUUUUUGCAAAUUAUUAUGAAAAAGUAGAGGCAUUCAGAUACUGAUUAGGAACUCAAUAUUACUUAAUGUUUUACACAAAGGUAUAGAUAGAGAAGGAUGAUAUAUUAUUUUAGUAUGUUUUGUAGAUAAUAUUCUCUAUACAGUGGUGAAUAUUUAUGCACCAAAUAAGAAUCAGUUUCAAUUUCUUGAGUCUCUUAUGUCACAAAUUGAAAAAAUUGCACAGGGUUAUUUAAUUUUAGGAGGGGACUCUUUUAGUGAUGUAUUAACGGAUAAAAAAAAAAUCAAAGAGGAAAAGAAAUUAACACAAAACAAAAAUUGGGAGCUAAAAGAUUUAAUACUUUUCUACAAAAAUAUGAUUUAAUGGAUAUAUGGAGGAUACUAAAUCCAGAAACAAAAGAUUAUUCUUUUUAUUCAAUCCCGCAUUAUUCGUAUACAAGAAAGGAUCUAUUCUUAACCAAAAAUAAUCUUUUUAAUGAAGAAAUCACCUGUAAAAUAGAUAUCUCAACUUGGUCUGAUCAUGCACCAGUCUUUUUAAAACUGAAAACAAAUAAGAAUAAAAUACAUCAGGAAUGGAGACUUAAUGAAUCAUUAUUAAAACAAGAGAAAAAUAGAGAUAAAAUUGCUAAAGAAAUAAAAAAUAUAUAUGUUUUUUUUUUUUUUUUUAUUCUUUAUUUUGUCACAGUCAACAAGAUAUAUAUAUAUUGCAUGUAAUACAUUCAAUGAAGCAUAUCACUGUUUUUACUCUUCUGCAUACAUUGGUGGGGUAGCGAUGUUGGCUGUGGUAUUUUGUUUUAUGGUAAUGUAGCUUGUUACUGCCAUGGUCAUGUCUUUAGCGAUGGUUGUGGUUAGUGUAGGAGUCUGGGACAUGUAUGGCUCUGUGGUUUCAAAAAGUGAGAGAAAAUGCGAUAUAUUUCUAUGGCGGGUUGGGUGCUGAGUGGGCACAGCUCCGCUUUGGUAGAGUAAGUGUAAGUGGUUCCUAGCGCGGAGCUGGGGGGGUAAGGUGUUCGUUAAGGAGCUAGUGUUUCUGAGUUUCGACUUGUUUAGGUCUGGGAGGUGGCGGAGAUGGGUGUGACCCGCUGUUAGUGCAUGGUGUGGUAUGUUGCGCGGUGUCUAAGCGGAGUAUGUAACAUAAACAACAACAAACAAAAAAGAAAAAACAAACAAAGAGGGUACAAUACCCACGGCAUAACUUAUGCUGCAUCUACGGUUUCUCAACGUGAGGCUGGCCCUAUGAGGUGCCUGUGCCUCAUAAUACGAGGGAAAAAAUAAAACAAAAAACGAUAAAAACGAUAAAAACAAAGAAUCCCAAGAGGUUAAGUAACCAUAUAUAAAGGCAGCUAUAUAAAUGAAAAAAUGUAAUGUCCAGAGUCACGUGGUUGCACGGUUGGGUAAGUUCCGAUUUGCCGGGAUGAACGGGACAGAGUUGGCCGGGUCCCAUGUUGUCGGUGCCGGCGUUGCUGCGUGGUUCAGGCCCAGAUUGGUCAGGGUUGCCUCUAUCUGCGAUGCCUCCGCUACCUUGAUCUCCGUGUUUUGGUGCUGGAUAAUGAGCGUGUGUGUUGGGCCCCAUCGGUACUUGAUUCCGUUCGUUGAUAGUAUGGAUGUGAGGGGUCGUAGCGUCUUCCGCCACUGAAGCGUCGGUCAAGAGAGAUCUGAGUAGAAGGUAACGUCCAUAUCCUCAAAGCGGAAUGGGGGUUUCCCCCUCACUGCUUUCAAGAUGGCUGCUUUAUUUUGGCCAUUUUGGAAUUUGACCAGUAGGUCGCUGGUGUUGGAGGCCGCAGCUGCAGGAGGCUUUGGGAGCCAAAACAUCCCCUCUAGUGUGAUGCCUUUUGCCUGUUUGGGUGUCAACAGUGCUGUGAAGAGUCUGCGCAGGCAGUGGGGUAGUUCUGCUUGUGUGAUAGUGUCCAUGAGGCCCCUGAUCUUAAGGUGUUUCCACCUUCUCUUGUCCUCCAUUGCUGCUAGUUGGUGGCUCAGAGUGGUGUGAGCUGCAGUGAGAGUGGCAAUCUGAUUCUGCAGACCUUGGAUGUGGGCUGCAUGUGUUGUGGCUGUCUGCUCAAUUAUAUUUAGGCGCCCAUUGAACCCCUUGAGGUCUUCUCUCACCUGGGAGAUUUCUGAGGAGAGGCUGUGACGGAGAUCCGCCAGGAGGCCGGUAAGUAUCCCUGUGGUGAGAGGUUCUGACCCUUUGGCUGCUGGCUGGGCAGAUGUUGUAGGGUUAAUUCCCCUCUCUUCUGUGUCGUGGAGGGAGUAGUCAGCCGAGUCGUCUGAGAAGUCUCCCAUGUCCGCCGCCAUGUCAGUCCUCCCCGCGCCAUGCGGUCCCCUCAGGAGGUCGCCGAUAUCGGCACAGAAUCUCGGUCGAUCCGGACGGGGCUUUUUGUUUUUUCUCCCCAUCGUAAGGAGAGUUGUCCGGGGCUUGUUGGGGGGUGUUGUACCCCUAUGUUCGGCAGGAUUAGGGCGUUUUUCGUGCCCGUUUAUCGGAGCUCAUGCAGAGAGCGACCGUUGCCGUCGGAUGCUAGCUCCGCCCCCCUCAAAAAUUAAAAAUAUAUAUAUAUUUUAAAGAAAAUAUUAAUCCCCAGACUUCAAAGGGAACCUUAUGGUGUGCCUUUAAGGCAGUUAUAAGAGGUCACAUAAUUAAAAUAGGAGCAUAUGAAAAAAAAAAAAGUUUAUCAUACCAACAAUUACAUAUUAAAUUAGCCCAAUUAGAAGUGCCUAAUGAAGAAAAUACUACAAAAAUAAAUAGUAUAGAAAUAAUUAAAAUUAAGGAUAAAAUAAAAAUUAAAGAUAUGGAUAGGAUUAAUUUUAAAUCUACUUAGUCUAAAACAAAUGUGGUAUGCACAGGGGAAUAGAGCAAACAAACUCCUGACCAACAGAUUGAUAUUACAAACAAAGAAAAAUAGAAUCGUAGAAAAAGGUAAAAUAAUUAUGGAUCCAAAGUUUCCAUAAAAAAUUAUACCACCUAGAAGAGGAGACCAAUAUUAAUCAAUGCCAAAUGAGAAGUAAAAUUAAAGAAUAUCUAAGAAAAAUAAAACUGCCAAAUCUUGAUAAAAUUGACUUAGAUAUAUUGAAAGCCCCAUUGACCUCUAAAGAGAUUAUAGAUUUUAUAAAAGAUCUAACGAAAAACAAGACACCAGGACCAGACGGUUUUUCAAAUUGUUUUUAUAAAGCUUUUGGAGAAAGUCUGGCUGGCCACUUAGCUAUAAUUUUUGAUGAUAUGAUAAGGAAUAACCAAAUGUCAGGUGAAAUGUUAUCGGCAAAUAUUUAUCCUAUCUUAAAAGAAGGAAAAGAUAAAGCAUUAUUUUAAAAUUAUAGACCAAUUUCACUCAUUAAUGUGGAUACAAAGAUCUACUCAACAAUAUGGGCAAAUCGUUUAAAAACGGUUAUAUCUCAAAUAAUGAAUGGAGAUGAAACAGGAUUCAUUCCAGGAAGAUCAGCUGAAGACAAUCUUAGGAAAAAUAUCAACUUAAUACUAAUGGCUGAAAAUUCAGGAUAAUCCAUGCUGACCCUGUCAUUGGAUGCAGAGAAGGCCUUUGACAGGGUCGGCUGGAUUUAUUUGGAAGAAUUUUCAACAGCACCAGCCAGGGAUGUCCACUAGCCCCUAUGUCAUACGCUUUAUCAUUAGAACCAUUUGCUCAGAAAAUUAGACAGAAUGGAGAUAUUAAGGGCUCUCAAAUUGGGAGCAGGAACUAUAAAAUAGCAAUGUUUGCCUAUGACGUUUUACUUACAUUAAGGGACUUAGAGAGAUCAAUGGAGGCAUUGAUGAAUGAGAUCAAAAUAUACUCGGAAUUGACCUAUUAUAGCCUUAAUAUAAACAAAUCUCAGGCAUUAGUCCUGAAGAAAAAAACAAUUUAAAAGAGAAAUAUAAAUUGCAAUGGUUAGAUAAUACACUUAGCUAUCUAUGGAUUAAAAUCUCAUAUUCAAAAACAUUCAUUAUGGAUUUAAAUUCAUAUUAUUAAAGAACUUAAAAAUAAACUUAAUGGGUGAAAAAAAAAAAGUAAUAUCUUGGUUAGGUAAAAUAAAUGUAAUUAAAUAAUAUGUUCUACCAAAUUUAACCUUUUUAUUUAGAUCUAUCCCUUUGAAAGUAGAAAAAAACAUACUUUGGGGUUUUCAGAAAUUGUUUAACAACUUUUUAUUGAAUCAUAAGAAAGCAAGGAUAACACUAAACAUGACAUCUAGAGGGGAAAAAAAUUGAGGUUUAGGAGUGCCCGAUGUAAAUAAAAUUUAUGAUGCAAUUUUAUUCUCUCAUAUUUCAAAAUGGUUCAGAACAGAUAGUUGCUACCAAUAGCUGGGCAUAGAGAAUGAAACAUUAGUGACAAAAGAUGCCAUAAAUAUUACCUGUGAUAAAAAAAUAAAUAGAACUCAAUAUGAUGAAUCCAAUAGUCAGGGACUUGAGCAUAGCAUGGAAAAACCUACAUUAUAAGUAUUUAAGUACAUGGGACUUGAAUAUGUUUAUACCAUUGACAAUUUUAGAAAAUCUAAUAGGUAAUAUCAAAUUAAAAAAUUUGAAAGGAAAAGGGAAUAGUCCAUAUUUAUAAGCUGAAUGAAAACUUCAAGGUAAAAUAGUUUUUAUAUAAUUUAAAAUACUUAUGACAUUCCAUCAAAUUAGUUUUAUAACUAUAUAAGGAUAACAUAUCAUAAAGAGAAAUAAUUAUCCCAAAAAAAUCAUUAUAGAGAGGAUAAUAAAAUUAAAUAUAUCUUUCUGGGAAAACAAAAAAGAAAACCAGCAGAUUGAUUAUGGAUAUUGUGAAUAAAAAGGUUAAUUUUAAAUAAUUUCCAACCAUUAAAAGAUGGAUCAACGAUUUGGAUUUAAAGGUGGAAGAAGAAAUUUUGAUUAGAUCAAUCAAUUUUACGAAAACAGCUAUUCGUAAUAAAAAUCUGUUAGAAACGUAUUUUAAAGUAACUUUUAGGUGGUACUUGACUGCAGAAAGAUUAAGUAAAUUUUUCCCUAAUGAUAAUGGGUUGUGCUGGAGAUGUAUGGAAGAAAUAGGCUCACUAGUUCACAUAUGGUGGAAAUGUAGUAAGAUUCAAUCCCAAUGGUCUAAAGUGUUUAAUAUAAUUUCUACUCUACUUAAUAAUAAAUGGGAUCCAGCAUGUGCCCUAUUCCAUAUGGGGUCCAGUGGGGCUUCACUUCGGCGGUGUAGCGGUACUUACCUUAUCCGUAGGCCGGUCGAGGUCCUCUAUCCCCGCCGCGCGCGGCCCGCUCAGGGCUCAGAUGAUGGCGGGCACUGACCGCGAGAUGCGGUCACGUGUCCCGCCUAGCUCUACAAGCGCGCCGCGCGUCUUGGGCACACUCUUAAAGGGACAGUGGGAGCCGAAAACUAAAACUGUCUCCCAUUGGCCCCUGUCAUCCCACAUUCCCCAUACACUCACAUUUAGGGGGCGUGGAUAUGACAGGUGCCAAUCAAAUUAAAUGCUAGGGUAUUUAUACUUACCUCUCCCUUAACUCCCUGCCCUAUCAUGGUUUCUGUUUCAGUUCCCUUUAGCGCUUGUUGUGUUCAGUUGUGAUUUUUUCAUACUUGACCUUGGCUUUGUAUCUGACUCUGUUUUGUCUUGUUUGCCGGCUUACUGAUUACUGUGUACCAGACCUUGGCUAGUUCUUGUUUUCGCUGUCUCUUUUUACCCUUGACCUCGACUCGUUCCUGACUCUCUCUUUCUUUGCUCUACGUCGAGUCUAGCCAUUCUAAGGUCCGGUAAGACGUAUCUGCUCUAUAUUGUCAAUUGUUGGACUAAAUCGUGCAUGUUGGGGUAUACUACUGUGGCAUUACGAUAGGGCCAUGGACCCCGCAGAUUUAGGUCAGAAAAUGGCUUCACAUGAGGCUAGAUUUGUAGAGCAGGAUCACCGUAUGGAUCAAAUAGCUCAGGCUAUUCAGACACUCUUAUCUAGAACUACUCUGGUAACCGUACCAGCUCCUCCUGCACCCCUUGUUCCAGAUGUAUCUACCAUGCCUAAUGCUUCUGCACAUUUAACCCCUCCACCUAGGUACGGAGGGGAUGCUAAGACAUGCAGGGGAUUAAUUAAUCAAGUGGAAUUCCACUUUGAGAUGUAUCCACGUUCCUUUCCCACUGAUAGGUCUAAGGUUGGGUUCCUUAUGCACCAACUUACUGAUAAAAAACUUGAGUGGGCAAAUCCUAUUUGGUGCAUGAUUUCGAUAGCUUCCUUACGGCUUUUCGUAGAACGUUUGACACAACUAAAAGGUUGAAGAAUGCUGCCAGGGCAUUAAUGAGAAUUAAACAAGGAUCUAGGUCUGUUGCUGAUUAUGCUUUUCAGUUUCGUACCCUUGCUUCACAGGUAGAUUGGACCAACAAUGGGCUAACUACUGCGUUUAUGGAAGGUCUAUCUGACACUAUAUUGGAUGAGGUAGCAGCUAGGGAUCUUCCUAUCCCAUUAGAGGACCUUAUCGACUAUCUCAUUGAUAUAGACAAUAGGAUUCGUGACAGACUCUAUACUAAGAAUAGGAAUAGACAUUUUGUUACAUUAAAUUCUCCUAGUGUUGCUAAUCCUGAGAAUUUCAAUGUAUCAGAGGAGGAGCCCAUGCAAUUAGGGGUUGCCAAACUCUCUGAUGCUGAAAAAUUGUAUAGGAGAAAGGAGGGACUUUGCCUGUACUGUGUUAGGAAGGGUCAUAUGCUAAAAGAAUGUCCUGUGCUUCCGGAAAACUAUUGCACCUAAGGCCAUAUAGGGGACUGGCCUUGGGUGUGAUAUCUAAGUCCUCAAAACUGCCUCUUAACUGAUUACUUCUCCCUGUUUCUCUGCAUCUGGAAAAGAAUUGCAUAGCUGGGAACAUACUAGCCCUGGUUGAUUCCGGGGCCGCUGAGAAUUUCAUAGAUUCUGGUUUUGUUAGGAAACACAACAUACCCAUUAGAGAGAGGAAGACACCCUUGGCCAUUGAGGCCAUAGAUGGUAGACCAUUAUGCUCCUCAGUUAUUACACAUGAGACUGAACCGUUGCAUAUGUAUACAGGGAUGUUACACUCAGAAACCAUUUGGUUUCAGGUCAUCACCUCUCCUUCCUCUCACAUUGUGUUAGGGUACCCAUGGUUACAUUCUCACAAUCCCAUAUUUGACUGGGAGUCAGGACAAAUAGUAUCUUGAAGUGAGACCUGCCAAGAGUCUUGUAUCGUUAAAAUCACCCCUUUAAAUUCUAUUAAUGUUCCUACUACUCCUCCUUUGUCUACUGUUAUACCUCCUCAGUACAUGUCUCUCAAGUCUGUCUUCGAUAAAAGGGAGGCUGAAAAAUUACCACCUCAUAGACCCUACGAUUGUGCUAUUAAUUUAUUGCCUGGCACUACACCUCCCAAAGGCAGGGUGUAUCCCCAUCUCAUGGAGGAAUAUAUUAAAGAAUCUCUACAAAAGGGGUUUAUAAGGAGAUCCUCUUCUCCGGCAGGGGCUGGGUUCUUCUUUGUGUCGAAGAAGGAGGGCGAUUUAAGACCUUGUAUCGAUUAUAGGGGUCUAAAUAAAAUCACCAUAAAAAAUGCUUACCCUAUACCUUAAAUCACGGAAUUAUUUGACAGGCUCAAAUAUGCUACUGUAUUUACUAAACUGGACUUUAGAGGUGCAUACAAUCUAAUACGUAUAAAAAAGGACCAUGAAUGGAAAACUGCAUUCAAUACUAGGAGUGGUCAUUACGAGUACACUGUGAUGCCAUUUGGUCUUUGUAAUGCCCCAGCAGUAUUUCAAGAAUUUAUUAAUGACGUAUUACGGGAGUUCAUUCACACAUUUGUAAUAGUGUACUUGGACGACAUAUUAAUAUAUUCAACAGAUUUGCAUACUCAUCACAUGCAUGUUAAAACAGUUUUGAAAACCCUUCUUGUUAAUGGUCUUUAUUGUAAACUAGAAAAAUGUUUAUUUGAUCAAUCCGAAGUCCAGUUUUUGGGGUAUUUAAUUUCUGCCAAGGGCUUUCGUAUAGAUCCCCAGAAGCUUUCUGCUGUCAUAGAAUGGCCUCUACCUCAAGGUCUGAAAGCCAUUCAGUGUUUUCUAACUAUUAUAGACGCUUUAUUAAAGGUUUUUCUUCUAUUGUAGCACCUAUAACCCGUAUGACUAAAAAGGAUGGCAAUACUCGUAUCUGGUCCCCAGAGGCGCUUGAGGCUUUUGAAUUUCUUAAGACUGCGUUCGCCUCUGCUCCUAUUUUACAGCAUCCUGUCCCUUCUUUGCCUUAUAGUCUUGAAGUUAAUGCUUCAGAUAUUGGGGUAUGUGCUGUCUUAUCUCAAAGAGAAUCACCUGAAAAGCCAUUACAUCCUUGUGGCUUUUUUUCCAAGCAGAUUUCCAAAGCCGAAAAGAAUUAUGACAUAGGCAAUCGAGAACUCCUUGCUAUUAUUUUAGCACUUAAGGAGUGGAGACAUCUUUUAGAGGGUACUAAGGAUCCCAUCCUCAUUUUUACGGAUCCCAAAAACCUUUCCUAACUUAGUGAAGCCAAAAGAUUGUCUUCUAGGCAGGCCAGGUGGUCACUGUUUUUAUCUCAUUUCAAUUAUAUCAUCACCUACAGAUCAGGUGAUCGUAACACUAAAGCCGACGCUCUGUCCAGACAAUUUGAAACUACCGACAAACAAGAGUUUGAUGAUACCCCUGUCAUUCCCCCGGACAGAAUAAUAGCUACUACGGUUCUAUCUAUUUCUUCUUCACUCUUGCAAGUUAAACAGGCUAAACAAAACAUGGCACCCAGAGAGAGACCUGCUGAUAAACUGUUCGUUGAUGUUCCCGAAAGACGGGACGUUAUGUCAUUAUAUCAUGACACCAAAACUGCUGGACAUCCUCACUGACGCACACUUGCUCACUACAGACAAACUCACUGAUGCACACGUUUCCUACAGACAAGGUCACUGACACAAACGCUCACUACAGACAAGUUCACUGACGCACACACACUCACUACAGACAAGACCACUGUCACACACUUGCUCUCUACAUAAAAACUCACUGACACACACGUGCUCACUACACGCAAGCACACUGACACACACACACAUGUUCUCUACUGACAAGCUCACUGACACACACACAUGCUCACUACAAACAAGCACACUGACACACACACAUGCUCUCUACAGGCAAGCUCACUAACACACCUGCUCACUACAGACAAGCUCACUGACACACUCAAAUAGAAGCUUACUCACUAGCAGGCACACACACACACACACAAGCUCACUAACUAGCAGACACACACACAAGCUGACUCACUAGCAGGCACACACAUGCACACACAUACACACAAGCUCACUCACUAGCAGACACACACACAUACAAGCUCACUCACUAGCAGGCUCACACACACUCACACAUCAUAUGUUAUUAUGUACAGGGCAUUUGGUGCUUUUGCCGGUCAACUUUCGGGAGCUUCUGCGGUCGCAAUACGCAAUUCUUCCCCUUAGUCUCAUGCACCUUCCCUCUAAAAAGCGCUCUCCUGACAGAUUUCAAAGUGGUUCAAAACCGCAAACCAAAUUGUCCGGGAACCGCACAGUCACCUCAUGCCGAAAACAGUUCCAUAACGGUCGCGGCUCAGUACCGCUGGGUUUGGUUUAUGCAACGGCAGCCAGAGAGCAGGCAAACACACACAAUCCCACACAAGCUUACUCACUGUACCCUGUACCCUGGCUGGGUAUCUCUGCCAAGGACCGCUUCCUAGCUGGAACAGGGACAACCUCAGCACUUCUGCCCCAGUCGCAGUGGCUUGACUGGGGUCCUCCUGGAGCUUCGCCGUCCUGGAGCAGGAUAGGGGACUAGCUCUAUUCCCUCCCAGGGACUGGAUGGCACACAGUCCUGGGAGUUCUAGUCCUUACAAGUACUGUAAAACAGCCUGGGGAUGCCCAUAUCAAAAUCCCCCCAUAUCAAAAUCCCUCUUCUCUCCUCAGUGGAUCCAACACCGGCCGCUGUUGCUCCACAUCUUUUUAUGAUGCGGCGUGCGCGCACCAACGUAAUGUGGCUUAUGAUGACACAGCCCGCCAAAAGUUUUGAGUGCAAAUGUUUUGGGGGAAUGGUUGUGUAAUUAAAGCUACAAAAUAUAAAAAGGCUUCAUAAGGCAAGGAUCAUUGCCCUGUUGUGAUUCUAAGUUUUGGUUCACAAUAGUGCUUGUAUUUUCUGUAUAUUUAAGGCUUAUUGAUCUCAGCUAUUCUGACUAUUCUCCAUUUUGUAAUCCUGUGACUCGGCUAUUGGUUCUCAUUUCCCUAAUUUCUGGUUUCCCUGACUUGGCUAUUGUAUCUCGCUUUCCGAAUUUCUGGUUUCCCUGACUCGGCUUGUCCAUGACCAUUCUAUAUCUAAAAACUUAAGUUUGGCCACAGGGCCAGCGCACCCAUUAGGUGAAUUAGGCAUUCGUCUGGAGCGAUGACCUGCUAGGGGCACCCAUCGGGAUGUUUUCUGGUGGGCUGCCCCUGUCUUGGGCCGGAGCGCUGGGCCAGCGGGUCUUGACCUGCCCACCCAGCACCAGGCCAAUCCUCCAGGCACCCAAAUGAGGGGGAUGCCAAGAGAAGCCCUGUAAUAGGAGGCCCAGGAGCUGGAAUAUGGCCGCGCGGCACCCAGGUCUAGCAGAGAAGGCAAUGGGGAUGGGGGGUGUGGGCGAGACUAUACAAGCGGCGGAGGUGGAGAUAAAUGUGGCCCGAACCUGCUGCCUGGUAAGUGUGGGGGAACCCGGAUGUUCCCCAUCUAUUUACCACAGUGUACCUGCUCCCUAUCUACCCCAGUACCCCUGCUCCCCAUCCAUCUACCGCAGUGUCCCUGCUCCUUAUCUACCCAAGUGCCCCUGAUCCCUAUCUACCUACUCCAGUGUGGCCCGGCACCCUAUCUACCCCAGUGCCCUUGCUCCCUAUCUACCCCAGUGCUCCUGCUCCUUAUCUACCCCAGUGCCCUUGCUUCCUAUUUAUCCUAGUGCCCCUGCUCCCUAUAUACACCAGUGCCCUUGCUUCCUAUUUACCCUAGUGCACCUGCUCCCUAUAUACACCAGUGCCCCUGCUCCCUCUCUACACUAGGGCCCCUGUUCUUUAUCUACCCCAGUGCCUCUGCUCCCCAUCUAGUAAAGUGAGUAUGUGAGUGUGUCUGUCUGCUUGUAACUGUAUGUGCCUAUCUGCUUGUAACUGUGUUACAGUCUGUAACAGUGUGUGUAAAACUGUCUGUAAAUGUGUAUGACUGUCUGCCUGUGUCUGUGGCUGUCUCUACCUGUGUGUGUGUGACUGCCUGUAACUGUGUGUUUGACUAUAUACCUUGUUGUCUGUUUCAAAACUGACAUGUAAGACUUUUUCGUUUAUUACUGGCCCUUUAAGUGAACUUCGUGAUUUUCUCCUCUAAUGGCCUCCCUAGCCACUAAUCUAUUCACUCACCUUAAUAACCUCACCUGGAUUAAUUAUUUAGGAGGCUUGUCUACUCUCGGCACACAACAGUGCCUUAACAUUGAAGUCUAUGCUCUGAUAAAGAAUCUCUGUUCCUGGUAAUAUCCUGUAUUUUAUCUACAUUAUUUCAUUCUGUAGAGAACUUACCUGCAGUGCCUCAUCCUGUACUCAUCUACAUUUCCUCAUACUGAAAGGCACUAACCUGCAUUACUUCAUCCUGAACUUGCCUGAAUUACAUCUUACCGAAAGUCUUUCCUUAUCAGCUUCCAAGAAUCCUGAUUUGUGGCAUAUUGCCUUCAUUGAAGAAUCUUAACUGCUUCAAUUGCUGCAUCACU